UGGAGAGUUUGAUCCUGGCUCAGGACGAACGCUGGCGGCGUGCCUAAUACAUGCAAGUCGAGCGGAGUUCAUUUGAAAGCUUGCUUUCAAAUGAACUYAGCGGCGGACGGGUGAGUAACACGUAGGCAACCUGCCCCUUAGCCUGGGAUAACUACCGGAAACGGUAGCUAAUACCGGAUAAUUCCUWUYYUCUCCUGAGGAGAGGAUGAAAGGCGGAGCAAUCUGUCGCUAAGGGAUGGGCCUGCGGCGCAUUAGCUAGUUGGUGAGGUAACGGCUCACCAAGGCGACGAUGCGUAGCCGACCUGAGAGGGUGAACGGCCACACUGGGACUGAGACACGGCCCAGACUCCUACGGGAGGCAGCAGUAGGGAAUCUUCCGCAAUGGGCGAAAGCCUGACGGAGCAACGCCGCGUGAGUGAUGAAGGUUUUCGGAUCGUAAAGCUCUGUUGCCAGGGAAGAACGUCUUGUAGAGUAACUGCUAYRAGAGUGACGGUACCUGAGAAGAAAGCCCCGGCUAACUACGUGCCAGCAGCCGCGGUA
rnacentral:rRNA from 1 species